AUCAGUAAGCGGUGGAAAAGAAACUAACCAGGAUUCUCUUAGUAACGGCGAGUGAACAGAGAAGAGCCCAGCACCGAAGCCUAUUCGCGUUUGUGAACAAGGCAAUGUGGUGUUAAGAUGUUCGCCUGGGGCUGUCAGUCUAUUCGAAGUCCAGCAUAGAUUAUGGCUCUGGAUAUUGUCCAUAGCGGGUGAAAGACCCGUCCGGAUAGACUGUCAGGCAUGUUGACAGCCCUCAGAUGCGUUCAUCGUGGAGUCGGAUAGCUUGAGAAUGCUGUCCAAAGUGGGUGGUAAACUCCAUCCAAGGCUAAAUAUUUGCACGAAUCCGAUAGUUGACAAGUACCGUGAGGGAAAGUUGAAAAGUACUCUGAAGAGAGAGUAAACAGUACGUGAAACCGCAUGUAUGGAAGCUGGUGGAGUCAAGCUGCAUGCCUCUAGAAUGAAGCCAGUCAUUAUCGAACACAUUGUUGAGGUGGUUGGACGGUGGCCUUGUAAGAAGGCUGACGGAUUUAUCCGUUUCCGGUGCGCACAGGUUAGUGCGUGUGGAGCUGUUCAACUUUUCCUCUUGUGACUGGCGUAUUUUCUUUGUGGCAGACACCAUGAUCGACAUUGUUGUUGGCGUGUGGUAGUCAAACCAUCAGGUUUUGGGUUUUAAAUCCAUGCCUGGUGGGACGGCAGGUGAUUCAUUGAUCGACCUUGUGUUGGUCUCUGAGUUUUUUGUGGUUGCGACCAGCCGACUACCAUAUUGUGAAGCAUAUAGCCAUACAAUAUGUCGUUGCUCAGUGAAGCUGGACCCUUUUGAUGGUAGUUCUGCUAGCCUGGUGGGAUGUGUUUCUAUUUCUGAUAGUGCAUGCUCGCCAGGUGUGUGGGGCCGCUGUUGAUCGAGUUUAGUGUGAAUCAUGGUGUUGUGGUAGACGUUCCACC
rnacentral:rRNA from 1 species